CGCCCCCCAAGAUCUGACCACGACGAACGGGACAAGACCCUCCGACAGUGUGAAUGUGAUAUAACUCCGGUAAAUCUCUCGUUCUCUCUAUACCUCGUAUUUGUGUCGAAAUAGAAACAGAAUAACAGAAUAAAAAAAAAUCAUCUUUGGAGUAUUUUUGGCUGAUCUUUAUUGAUUUUAGUUUGCUUGUGGUACUAAAUAACGUAACUCGUUUUUCUUGAAAAGAAAGUGAAACCCCCCUUUAGUACAAUCUCUUCUCUCCGAAACACAAUCGAUUCCUCUCUAAAAUCCCCCCUUUCAAAAUUUUUCUCUUUUCGGUUUUUAUAACCGAUUACAAUCACCAUAAAAACUCCCAUUCCUCUGUUGUUGCUGCGGUUUUAUAACCGACACACCCAUACCCUGCAAACACAAACAACAAAAACAGCAGCAACAACAGAGGAAUGAGAGUUUUUAUGGUGAUUGUAAUCGGUUAUAAAAACCGAAAAGAGAAAUUUUGAAAAGGGGGAUUUUAGAGAGGAAUCGAUUGUAUUUCGGAGAGAAGAGAUUGUACUAAAGGGGGGUUUUUCACUUUCUUUUCAAGAAAAACGAGUUACGUUUUUUAGUACCACAAGCAAACUAAAAUCAAUAAAGAUCAGCCAAGAAUACUCCAAAGGUGAUUUUUUUUGUUUUUUUAUUCUGUUAUUCUGUUUCUAUUUCGACACAAAUACGAUGUAUAGAGAGAACGAGAGACUUACCGGAGUUAUAUCACAUUCACACUGUCGGAGGGUCUUGUCCCGUUCGUCGCGGUCAGAUCUUGGUGGCGGUUGUAGGCCAGAAUAAUAGCCUUUCAGUUGAGAAGGGAAGUGGAGAAGCUGAGAAAGUUAUAAGCUUUAAAAAUUUUCUUUCAAAAAAAAGGACAAAAGGUUAAAAAGUGUAUUUUAAAAUAAAAAUGGUUUAAAUAAUAAAAAAGGGUUGAAACAGCAUGGGAAAGGGGAAAGGGAUAGCAUGUUUUGACCUAGUCCACGCGCACUUUCCCCUUAAAUGGUUAAUUUGCGUGGCCAGUCCUCCCUUGUUAGCCGUGCACUCAAAUUGGUCCUAUUCUCUUUAUUUUUUAUUCUGAAUUGGCCC
rnacentral:lncRNA from 1 species